AAAGUCGUAACAAGGUUUCCGUAGGUGAACCUGCGGAAGGAUCAUUACAAGUAUUGAGAGGUGUAGGUAGGUAAGAGUUAUAACCUGUUAUAGCUCUAACCCCUAUAUUCACGCGUGUUGUGUUUGACAGAGUUAUUAUGUUGGUAAAUAUACAAAACUUUUAACAAUGGAUCUCUUGGUUCUC
rnacentral:misc_RNA from 1 species